rnacentral:rRNA from 1 species
UGGGGAAUUUUGGACAAUGGGCGAAAGCCUGAUCCAGCCAUGCCGCGUGAGUGAAGAAGGCCUUCGGGUUGUAAAGCUCUUUUAGUUGGAAAGAAAGAAUUAUAGUUAAUAGCUAUAAUUUAUGACGGUACCAACAGAAAAAGCACCGGCUAACUACGUGCCAGCAGCCGCGGUAAUACGUAGGGUGCGAGCGUUAAUCGGAAUUACUGGGCGUAAAGGGUGCGCAGGCGGCCAUGCAAGUCAGAUGUGAAAGCCCCGGGCUUAACCUGGGAAUUGCGUUUGAAACUGCAAGGCUAGAGUGCAACAGAGGGGAGUGGAAUUCCAUGUGUAGCAGUGAAAUGCGUAGAGAUGUGGAAGAACACCGAUGGCGAAGGCAGCUCCCUGGGUUGACACUGACGCUCAUGCACGAAAGCGUGGGGAGCAAACAGGAUUAGAAACCCCUGUAG